rnacentral:rRNA from 1 species
AUUGAACGCUGGCGUCAGGCCUAACACAUGCAAGUCGAACGAGCGGCGGACGGGUGAGUAAUGUCUGGGAAUCUGCCUGAUGGAGGGGGAUAACUACUGGAAACGGUAGCUAAUACCGCAUACUAUCGGAUGUACCCAGAUGGGAUUAGCUAGUAGGUGGGGUAAAGGCUCACCUAGGCGACGAUCCCUAGCUGGUCUGAGAGGAUGACCAGCCACACUGGGACUGAGACACGGUCCAGACUCCUACGGGAGGCAGCAGUGGGGAAUAUUGAACAAGGGGCGCAAGCCUGAUGCAGCCAUGCCGCGUGUAUGAAGAAGGCCUUAGGGUUGUAAAGUACUUUCAGCGGGGAGGCGUUACCCGCAGAAGAAGCACCGGCUAACUCCGUGCCAGCAGCCGCGGUAAUAC